AUACGGAGGAUGCAAGCGUUAUCCGGAUUUAUUGGGUUUAAAGGGUGCGUAGGCGGAUGAUUAAGCGUGAGGUGAAAUGCCACUGCUCAACUGUGGAACUGCCUCGCGAACUGGUUGUCUUGAAUGCUCCUGCCGUGGGAGGAAUGUGUGGUGUAGCGGUGAAAUGCAUAGAGAUCACACAGAACACCGAUUGCGAAGGCAUCUCACGAAGGGGUGAUUGACGCUGAGGCACGAAAGCGUGGGGAUCAAACAGGAUUAGAUACCCUGGUAGUCCACGCAGUAAACGAUGAUAACUAACCGCUGGGUCGUAGUGAUUCAGUGGCCAAGCGAAAGCGAUAAGUUAUCCACCUGGGGAGUACGACCGCAAGGUUGAAACUCAAAUGAAUUGGCGGGG
rnacentral:rRNA from 1 species